UACGUAGGGGGCAAGCGUUAUCCGGAUUUACUGGGUGUAAAGGGAGCGCAGACGGAAUGACAAGUCAGGAGUGAAAGCCCGCGGCUCAACCGCGGGACUGCUUUGGAAACUGCCAUUCUGGAGUGUUGGAAGGGUAAGUGGAGUUCCUGGUGUAGCGGUGAAAUGCGUAGAUAUCAGGAGGAACACCGGUGGCGAAGGCGACUUACUGGACAAUAACUGACGUUGAGGCUCGAGAGCGUGGGUAGCAAACAGG
rnacentral:rRNA from 1 species